UAUAUAAGUUUCGUUCAAAUCAAAAAGGGGUGUUGUCAAAAUGUGAUUGAAAUCAAAUAGAACAACCUUUGAGACACGGACAGUCUAAGACCAUCGACAAGCAGUGUGUAGUUUCCAGAGGUCAGCCUUUGGAGAUCCUUCUGGGCCUUAGUGACUUGACUUUUACUGCUUAAUUAUAGGCUGACUUACUGCUUAAUUAUAGGCUGACUGCCUUCCAAUCUUCAUAAUUAAAUGCACUUGGCUUCACAUCAAAAGAAAGUCCCUCUGUUUCCUUUGAAGGGCCAUUGAACGUAGACCACAUAAACAUUUCAUAGCCAAAAGAUAAGCAUGGAAAUCUGAGCCAAUGCCAUUACCAUCGCUUCCGAUAUACACCUUUAAAACAGAAAUCUGAAGGUUGUGGGUGACCCUGUUCCGCCCCACUUCUUGUGUCGUGUUUUCACUUUGAACAAAACAAGGGGGUUGAGUUCUGAGCCUCCUUGGGCUGGCCUUCUGGGCUAGGUGUGUCUUUGCGCUAAUCCCGCCUACUCAAAUGACCCUGCUGCCCCAGAGCUGGAGAGGAAAUGAAAGUCAUUAGCAACCUAACGCUUCAGCCGCCAGAAACAAAGAGCAGACGAAGCCAACAAGCAUCAUUCUCUGUUCUUGGAUCAGAAUCAACUUGAUCCCAAAGGGGAAAAAGAAGCGAGAGACUGCUCAUGACGAAUCCAUAAACCGGGUAAACUUUAACAAGUGGAAGAGUGACCGACAUGGCUCCCAUUCUCAUGGACUGGUAACAUUAGGGAGAUACUGGUGAACAUGGUCUGAUUUCAAGGGAACCUGAGACUACAAGUUGUGGUUGUGAAAACUCCAACACUGAAAGAGUCAACACAGCAUUGAUGGUGAUUCACAAUCCUGGAGAGCAUUGAAGUGGUUGAAUUCAUAAAUGGAUAGUUUGGACCUGUUGGAUGGAAGAAACCAAGUCAACCAUAGAUGAUGACGAACAUCCUAACCCUUCAGCUACACUACAUGCAUCACCAUCAAAAGUAUCCAUGCGACGUUCUAUCUGGUACACCAGAAACCAACCAAAUCAACUUAGUCUCAUUAUUUCAAUUCACAAGAUAGAAUGCACGUCAGCCAUUGAAAAUGUAACCUCUGUAGUAGGCCCGUUAGGAUGCAUUGCGGUCUUACCGGCUCUGAUGACCUAGUAGGUGUUGAAAGGUGGGAACCAGGAGCAGCACAUAGCUUUGUGGUCUGGAGGUGUGGGACCUGGCAAAAGGGUUUUAAUUCCAAACUGCUGUGUGUGUGGUUGGCACUGGCCUCACGAGAGGCUGUGGCACCAUGUAGGCUUUGUACCUGGGAGCUGAUAGAUGGUGUAUUCAGACUCCUUGACUUUUUCCACAUUUUGUUACGUUACAGCCUUAUUAUAAAAUUGAUUAAAUCGUUUUUUUCCCCCCCUCGUCAGUCUACACACACUACCCCAUAAUGACAAAUCAAACACAGGUUUUUAGAAAUGUUUGCAAAUACAUAAGUAUUCAGACCCUUUACUCAUUACUUUGUUGAAGCACAUUUGGUAGAGAUUCCAGCCUUGAGGCUUUGGUAUGAUGCUACAAGCUUGGCAUACCUGUAUUUGGAGAGUAUCUCGCAUUCUUCUCUGCAGAUCCUUUCAAGGUCUGUCAGGUUGGAUGGGGAGUGUUGCGGCCCAGCUAUUUUCAGGUCUCUCCAGAGAUGUUCGAUCGGGUUCAAGUCUGGGCUCUGGC